AGUCGUUUUACAGCUUCUCUAGCCUCCUUUGAAGUCUUUCUCUCUUUCAAUAUUUCUCUACAAUUGCAAACAUUUCCAUCAUCCCUGAUAUCUCUUCUCUUACAAUUUUCCCCCCUUUUAUUUGCCCUUUGUUUCACCUCUUUCCGAUUCAAUAUUUCAUUCACUCUCGACAAUUGACGAUAACCUUUCAACCUCAAACCUACAAAGGUUACUCUUACUUCGAUUUUAUUCUCCUUCUCUUGCUCGUUCAAGAAAAGUCAAUAAAAGUAGGAAAUUUUGAUUUAAGAGAUGGCGAUGAUCAUAGCACAAGAGCCAAUUGUCACCGUUUCUUGCAUCAUCGAUGGUUUUGAUUAGUUGCUGGCUUCUCUUGGGGUCAGAUUGAACAACAAUGCAGGUUGUACCAUCUCAAAUAUUCAUAGGAGACAAAGGAAUCAAGUUCUGAACAUUUUGCUUCUAAUACUCAAAAGCUCGAAUAUAUCUGUCUCAACUCCACUCAUCCCACAAGUUAGCCUUAUUUAAGGAGCCAUUUUCUUUUAUGCAGUUUGAUAUAGGUUCUUUAUGUUUAUAUUGUAUAGCCUUAAUUUUUCCUGUUCUUUCAAUAUCACUGUAAUCUUUAGACUUAACAUUUAUUUUUAUCUCUUGGGCAUUUCAUUCGAAAAUGGGAGGACUUUGAGCUAUACCUUAAGUCUAUGAAGCGUUGUUAGCUUCUGCCUUCAAUAUUUUAGUUAAAAUGCAUAGAUUAAAGUUUGUUUCUGCAUUUUAUGGAAGUUGCAGGCUUCUCUUGGGGUUAGAUAGAAUAACAAUGCAGGUUGUACCAUCUCAAAUAUUCACAGGAGAUCAAGGAGUCAAAUUUUGAACAUUUUGCUUUCGAAACUCAGGCUCGAAUAUAUCAGUCUCAACUCCACUCAUCCCACAAGUUACUCCACUCAUCCCACAAGUUAGUCUUGUUUAAGGAGUCAUUUUCUUUUAUGCAGUUUCAUAUAGGUUCUUUAUGUUUAUAUUGUGUUUGAUAUAGAAAGAAAUAAUAAUAGAGGAUGAUACAAUAUUUUGGAUCAUUUUCUGUUUCCCUCACUUUUGGCAACUAGCAUUUGCACAUCUUUUUCGUUAUAUACAUGUAUUGGAUC